UACGGGGGGGGCAAGCGUUGUUCGGAAUUACUGGGCGUAAAGGGCGCGUAGGCGGCCUGCUAAGUCGGACGUGAAAUCCCUCGGCUCAAUCGGGGAACUGCGUCCGAUACUGGCGAGGCUUGAAUCCGGGAGAGGGAUGUGGAAUUCCAGGUGUAGCGGUGAAAUGCGUAGAUAUCUGGAAGAACACCGGUGGCGAAAGCGCUCUGCUAGGCCGCAACUGACACUGAGGGACGAAAGCUAGGGGAGCGAAUGGG
rnacentral:rRNA from 1 species